rnacentral:rRNA from 1 species
UGUGUGUUAGUGGAAGCGUCUGGAAAGGCGCGCGAUACAGGGUGACAGCCCCGUACACAAAAAUGCACAUGCUGUGAGCUCGAUGAGUAGGGCGGGACACGUGGUAUCCUGUCUGAAUAUGGGGGGACCAUCCUCCAAGGCUAAAUACUCCUGACUGACCGAUAGUGAACCAGUACCGUGAGGGAAAGGCGAAAAGAACCCCGGCGAGGGGAGUGAAAAAGAACCUGAAACCGUGUACGUACAAGCAGUGGGAGCACGCUUAGGCGUGUGACUGCGUACCUUUUGUAUAAUGGGUCAGCGACUUAUAUUCUGUAGCAAGGUUAACCGAAUAGGGGAGCCGAAGGGAAACCGAGUCUUAACUGGGCGUUAAGUUGCAGGGUAUAGACCCGAAACCCGGUGAUCUAGCCAUGGGCAGGUUGAAGGUUGGGUAACACUAACUGGAGGACCGAACCGACUAAUGUUGAAAAAUUAGCGGAUGACUUGUGGCUGGGGGUGAAAGGCCAAUCAAACCGGGAGAU